rnacentral:rRNA from 1 species
CAGCUCCUACGGGGCGCAGCAGUAGGGAAUUUUGCGCAAUGGGCGAAAGCCUGACGCAGCAACGCCGCGUGAUCGAGACGCCCUUCGGGGUGUAAAGAUCUGUCAGUGGGGACGAAACUUGACGGUACCCACAGAGGAAGCACCGGCUAACUCCGUGCCAGCAGCCGCGGUAAUACGGGGGGUGCAAGCGUUGUCCGGAAUCAUUGGGCGUAAAGAGUUCGUAGGCGGCACGUAAAGUCUGGUGUUAAAGGCAGAGGAUCAACUUCUGUACGGCAUUGGAUACUUGAGAGCUAGAAUGUGGUAGA